CGCAAGAAUUCCACAGAAUGACACUUGAGACGCAGACUGGGUUGUAACUUAGCUUUCCUUUAUUGCAAAACAAUAAGGAAAAGACACACAUCUAGAUUAGCUCUAAGAUGUGGGAAGUCCCUAAAGUUCCUAAUGUUGAGAGACGAGGGGUAAUGGAGACUACAGAGCAGCAGGCUCUUCCAAGCUGAGGUGGCAGCUUUUGCAAAUCCCUGAACGAAGAGAAAGCUUGGUCAGAUUAGGCAAUGAUUAACACCACAAAGGUACAACAAAAUGGAGCUGCCAAGGUUGACAAGACAGAAGGCCGAAGAAGUCAGCAGAAGCGGCAUCUUAAGACAAUCAUUGUCGCAGUAAUUUAGCGUGCACCUGCAUCACCUGGAGGGCUUCUUGAAACCCAGAGCCCUGGGGCCAACCCCCAGGGUUUCUGAUUUAAUGCAUCUGGGGUGGGGCAUGAGCAUUAGGCUACAAGGUUCCAGGAGAUGCUGAUGCUGUUGGUUCCCCGGACUUUGAAAAUCACUGUUUUCAGAUCUUCGUCGUCCUCAAUGCCUUGGAUAAUGGAAAGAAAUGGAAGGCUUCUGGAGGUACAUUCCUCCAGGAAAGGAUCCUGAGAUGUGUUUCUAAAGGCCCCGGCUGCCACCAGGAUGCUUAACCGACUGAGCCACCCAGGCGCCCCCAGUAAGUCUAAUUUUUUACUAAGAGGACGUAUGUUUUGCAGAUUUUAACAUGUUCGUAUCUAUCCUUGCCUUUGUCCUUUUUAUGACAACCCUCAACUGUGCCCAUCAUCCCACGUCUGUCUCCCCCAAGCAAAUCGGAGUGCCAGAGUUAUAAGACCAUUCUUAUAUAGUCUUCUUAUAUUCCGGGGUAUGCUGGUUGUAUUCAUUAUUUAAGGAAUUCGUUACCAAAUGUCAGUGCUUUAUUGCAAACAUA
rnacentral:lncRNA from 1 species